rnacentral:rRNA from 1 species
GCAAGUCGAGCGGUAAGGCCCCUUCGGGGGUACACGAGCGGCGAACGGGUGAGUAUCGCGUGGGUAACCUACCCAGAGGUAGGGGAUAGCCUCGGGAAACCGGGGGUAAUACCGUAGGAGUCCUCGUUGACGCAAGUCGACGAGGGGAAAGGCGGGGAUCCUUCGGGACCUGUCGUCUCUGGAUGGGCCCGCGUCCGAUUAGCUUGUUGGUGGGGUAAUGGCCCACCAAGGCUGCGAUCGGUAGCCGGCCUGAGAGGGUGAAC